GGCCUCAACUCAGUCGUGAUUACCCGCU
rnacentral:rRNA from 1 species